AAACUUAAACCCUUACUCACCUCCCUCAUUCCUCUCAACCCUUUCUCUUUCAUAUCUCUCACUCCAACAUUUUCUCUGUCAUCCUACUGUUGCCCCAAUUGAAAAAAAAAAAAUCAGAAACCCUUGCCUAACCCUAAUCCAGCUUCCUCACUUAUCCAAUUUGUUUCUCUCUCGUCUCCAUACUCUUCCUCAGCCACACACAACAACCCACGACAUCGUAAUUUGUUGCUCUUGCUAUGUUCGUUCAAUUUGAGGAUGUGUUAUAUAUUUUCCCUUCUU
rnacentral:lncRNA from 1 species